rnacentral:lncRNA from 1 species
AGCCUUUCAUGCUGGAGGAUAAUACACAUAACUGAGGCAAAUAUUAAUGGUCUGCAUCCCAGCAGAGUGAUCAUCAGCUGCCUUGGCAGGAAGAUGGGUUUGGAAUCUGUAGUCUCUUUUCUCUUAUUUCUGUGGGAUGGUGCAGUGCUGACAAAAGGGCCUGGGACGUGGAUCCCUCCCUGCAGGGCUUGUACAGGCAUCAGCCUUCCCGCUCUCCCAAACCCUCCCACCAAAACUGGCGCCACAUCAUCGGGAACUGCAGGGAAGUGUGUGCUGGAUCAUGGAUUCCAGUCCAGGAGCUCUCCGUGUCUCAGGAUUCAGCUGUGGCACAGGCCUCUGGGGAGACAGCUGGCAGUCUCUGCCUUGUUUCUGUGCAGAUGUGCAGCAGGACAUGGGUGAUCUGGGAGAGCACAGGGGGCCCGGUGUCCCUGGGCUGGCAGAGAUGGAUGAGCACAGAAGGGAUGAAGGUGAAAGCUCUCCAGCCUUGGCCGCUGACGUGAGUGGGCGUUUGCUGCGUGGCUACAUCGGGAUUAUCCCCAGGAAAGGGACGGGAGGUUCCUUACAGACACCGGGCCAUUGGCAUGCCAAGGGCAGGGCUGGGUGACACAGCAGAGGGGGUGGCAGGGCAGGGCGUGCAGGUUUACACUGGUGGCUUCUUCCCAGCACCACACUGGGCUUUGCUGCUGGAACUGGGGGGAGUGGAAUUGAAGUGGGGCUGAGAAAACAAACAGAACUUGACCAAAAAGGGCGAGUUUUGUGUGUGACUGGGUUUAGUAGUUUCUUCAGUCCUAAAACUGUUUUCUCACUGUAUGUUUCAAGCCUAGGAAAAUGACAAUAUAGGAUGGUUUCAAAGCCUAAACAAAUCUCACUGAAUGCUGUUUUGCAUUAAUGAUUUCUGGGCACUCCAGAAAACAUUUCUAGACUUGCCUUGUUUGCAGUGGCUCCUUUGAUGGCCAAAAUUGAAUACAUGAGGGAUAAAUAUGUGUAUUUUUGAGCCAAGUAUUUUUUUGCUCAGUAACAUGAUGAAAAAGUGAAAAAAACUUUAAAAAUCAAUACUUUGUUUAAGUCUUGCAAACACUCUGAGAUUUUCAUGUACACAGACUUCUCCUGCCACUUUUUUAGGAAGAGUAAAUUUUUGCUAACAUGCCUCUGUUACCCUGCAAUUUAAUGUCCCUUUCCUCGUCUGUUGUGUUGUUAGUCUGCCUCCUGCUUUGUGGUUUAUUUGGGUAAACUGCCUUUUUGUAAAUUGUUUUUGUUACCUUUUGUGAGCAUGCCAGAGGCCCUAGGGUGCCAAUAAAUGGGAAUAUUAGUGCUCCUUCUGACUGCUGUUUCCCUCUGCUUGCUUGUGACCUGAUCCUGAAUCUCUGCCCAGCCUGCUGAGCUGAAUUUUCCUGAUCAGAAAAGGAAGAGCAGUGGGCAAAUGCCUUAGCAGGAGCAGUGGGUCAAGAGACCCUGCAGCCAAAUACUGACAGGAAAAGCUUCAUCUCUGUGCAGUUAUGAACGUUCUGUGGCACGGCUGCAUCACUCGAGGCAGUGAGUGUUUCCCACAGGUUAUUUUUCACACUGGUAUCCACUUGCUUUAUCUCUGACUGUUCUUGCUUUAUCUCUGGUUGUACUCACUUGGCUGGCGUUGCUCCAGAGCAGGACAUGCACAGCAGAACAAGGAAAAGGAACGUCACGAAGGCGGCGAGGCCGACCCAGAAGGCGAUGACGAUGGAGUCUGUGGGCACAGCAGAGGGGUUCUGUCAUUUGGCACAGCAGAAAUAAAACACAGCAAGGUGAUUUACCCUCCCUACUACAGGUAUGUCAUCUGACUCAUUUCUCCUUUCAGAGAGAGAGGUCAAAGUGCCAAUUUGUUAAAGGUCUUGGGAGCCUCCAGCAGUGGGGAUGAGGGAGGGAAAAGCCUCUGCAGUGUUCCGGUGCCCAGACCUGUGCAGAUAACUGAACGUGGCUCCUGUUACACAACCACAGGGCAGGAAGCCUGAGCGGUCACUGCCUAAUCCUGCAGGCUCUUUAGGGAGAGGCCCUCAGGGAGGGAAUCCCAGCCCUGGAAGCGUUUUACACCAGGAGAAAUAGCAAGGGGGGUUUGUUGCACAGGGCCUGUGCCCCUGCCAGCACAUCAGGGCAGUGGAAGGGAAGGUGCCCCUUGCCCUGCAGCCUCCGUGGAGGAGUGCAAGGUGCUGCCUGCUCUGCCAGGAGCACACAGUUUAUCUGAGGAACAGACUGCCCGUGCCCAAGUGUGCCCACAGUGGCAGGGUGAGGUUGGCUGGGGGAGCAGAGGGAGCAGAGGGAGCUGCUCUCUCAGGCAGGCUCCAGUGCUGUGCCAGCUGGAUUGCCUGAGCCUUGGCCUCACUGAGAAUCUGCUCCCAUCCCCACUGUGGCACCUUUGGCCACUGCUCCACAAACGCUCCCUCCUGGGGCUGCUUCCUGGUGCCCUUGGGAAGUCUGAGUGUCCUGCCCUGGAUUCACAGCAGACGAGGUGGAAAAAGAAGGGUCACUGGCUCCAGGGGCAAAUAUUGACAGAGAUGAAAUAAAUCUUCCCUCUGAAAGUACAGAAAACAUUGUGUUCUCUGAAACAGGUCCGGUAUGUUGGAUUGAGCGUUUCUUUGUGAAAAAGUUCAGGAUGUGUUGGCAUCAAAGCCACAAAGAGAUUAAGGGAAUUUGUCCAGCUCCUUUUAAACUCAAAACUAGAGCUGGCCCAGCUCUGCCCUUAUCAGAAACCUGAGUUUGGACUGGGCUGCUGAGAAAUAUCAGUGGGCAGGGGCAGCCUAUUUUAUUCUUCCCUUGCCCAGGGACAUUUUGAGAAGCCCAAAGCUUUGAAGUGUUCCACACCACUGGGACAGAAAUUAAGAGUUUGGAUUUAUAGAAUUCCCUGUCAGAGCUAUUUUGGCUUUAUCUUUUAAAAACAGUUUUAAUAGAUUUCAUGGAAUUCACUGAAGCUAAAUAAAUUGGCUCCAGGGCUCCGGUGGAGCUUGAACCAAAAUUUCCUGGGUUUAAAUUCUGCACUUAGUUGGGUUUUGUUUAUUUGUUUGCUUGCUUUUGUUUGGUCUUCUUGGUUUGUUUGGUGGCUUUUUUUUGUUUGUUUGUUUGGUUUGGUUUUUAACUGGAAUAAUGUAUUUUCAUAUUUUCCCAAUCUAUAAAAAGCUUUCCUACUGCUAAAUUUUACCAUCACCUUUUGUGCAUGUGUGUGCGCAUGCUUUUAAAUAACCAAUUAGAUCAUGGGCCAAUUAAGAUUUUUCAUUAUUUUCGUACAAAAUCGGAGAGAUGCAGAACACUACAAAUAGAAAGCACGACCACGGCUUUUUAUCUGGGUUUAGAUUCAUUUUUAUGAGACAAAUUCAGUCUCAACAAGUUUCAGGGACCAGCCACGUAACAGAGGAAAAGAAGUGCAGAGAUUCAGGUCUCUGUUUCACAUUAAAAGAAUUUAAAAACCCCCUAGGAGGCAAAACUGAGAGCACAUAAAGCCAAUAAUCCCAGCAGCAGCUUCUCUAGGUAUAGGAAUGUAAAUAUUGUGCAAGGACAGACAAAGUAUAUUCAUUGCUUGACCGGUACUUUGACUCCAAGCAGUGAAAGAUCCCAAGCAGCUGCGGAAUUGUUUCCCUUGGUGUUUUCAUUAGAACUUGUAAGCCACUGUUCUCCCACUGGGAUUUUCUGGAGGAGGAAGGAUAAUAGUAGCAAGAGGAUGCACUCUCUAUUCCUCCACAAAACUGUCAACAAAUUUAAAUGUAAUUUAACAGAGAGCGAGCAUCUUGUCUCAGAAGCACAGUUUCUACAGAUUUCAAGAGGCAGCUGAGGAAAAAUGCCCUGUGAAUUGCCAGGGAGGGAAGUGCUGUAACACAAGUGCCACCUCUGCUGUGCACCAGGUGAUCCAAGUGGUAGGAAAAUGUUAUGAAGCAGACAUCAGGGGAAAAGUUUAUUCCUGGUUUUUGGGUUUUGCUACGCCAGCCACGUGCCAGAGACUUACAUCUCGCUCAGCUCAGCAGUUUGGGGUUUCCCUGGUGGAAUCUGGGGCUAAUCAUCUGCCUUAACUUCAAAAUCAAGAGAAUGAGAUGAGCUGCUCCUGGUCCCAGCAGCACCAAAUGUUGCUCUGCAGUAUUAGAGAGCAAGAUUUUCUGUAUGGAGGGAUGUGGAUAUUCACACCACUUUCUUUAAGGUGUGGUGCUCUAAGUUUGGAGGCAAUAAACCCUUGGCUGACCUGAAUGCACAGAAAAGCUUUUCUAGAGGAAGUUUCUGCUCCUUUUCCCUACUGCUGUCCGAGCAAGCGAAGGACAAGCAGCUCCUACCACAGAAUUCAACCUUCACCACCAGAAAGGCAGCUUCUUGCAUUGUUAGUGAGAGAGAAUGAAGAUAUUCUGAAAGGCCAUCACAUUUUCCUGGGAUAUAUAAUAAUUUCACUGUAAUAACCUUGGGAAAAACAAUUUUAGUCUCUGAAUCUGCAUCUGAACAGUUUCAGCCAUCCUCAGGGAUGGGAGGGAAGCUCAAAGAAUAUGUUUGCAGCUUAUUGUUCCUGGCUAGUGGAAACGUACAUUUCCUUUACUAAAAGUCUGAAUGCUUACCAGUUGCAAUGUCAGCCUCGUCCCAGGAUGAAAACACAGAGUUUUUAUGAAAACCUCUGCUCCUUCAGUGAACUUUGGUGGCAGUAGCACACAGGUAACUAGCAUCCCCACACUACAGAUUCC